GGCGGACGUAGCCAAGUGGA
rnacentral:tRNA from 1 species